rnacentral:tRNA from 1 species
CGGGAUGUAGCGCAGUCUGGUAAGCGCGCCUGCUUCGGGGGCAGGAGGUCGUGGGUUCAAAUCCCACCAUCCCGACCA